rnacentral:tRNA from 1 species
AAAGGUGUAGUCGUUAGCACUCUCGUCUGACAAGCGGGGAUGUCGGGUUCGAUUCCCGAUAAUUUUU